rnacentral:rRNA from 1 species
AACCAGGAGGUUGGCUUAGAAGCAGCCAUCCUUGAAAGAGUGCGUAAUAGCUCACUGGUCAAGUGAUUCUGCGCCGAUAAUGUAGCGGGGCUCAAGUACACCGCCGAAGUUGUGGCAAUGAUCUUUUUGGAUUGUUGGGUAGGGGAGCGUCGUGUGGCCGGUGAAGCUGCGGUGUAAACCAGUGGUGGAGGCUAUGCGAGUGAGAAUGCAGGCAUGAGUAGCGAAAGAUGAGUGAGAAACUCAUCCGCCGGAUGAUCAAGGGUUCCAGGGUCAAGUUAAUCUGCCCUGGGUUAGUCGGGGCCUAAGGCGAGGCCGACAGGCGUAGUCGAUGGAUAACGGGUUGAUAUUCCCGUACCGGUGAAAAACCGCCCAUACUGAUAUUGUGAUGCUAACCAUGCGAAGCAUGAUGUGCAGGCUUUUGUUUGUGUGUUGUGUGGGUUGUGGGACCCGAUCUUUGGAGGUAAACGUGUUAACAGGUGUGACGCAGGAAGGUAGCCAAGCCACGCGAUGGUUGUCGUGGUCUAAGCGUGUAGGGUUGUCGGUUGUUAAAUGCGCCGGCUGUGUGCCUGAGACGUGAUGGGACCCCGUUUUUGGGGGAUUUGGUGAUCCUAUGCUGCCGAGAAAAGCAUCGGCGUGAGGUUUUAGCCGCCCGUACCCUAAACCGACACAGGUGAUCAGGUAGAGAAUACUAAGGCGAUCGAGAGAAUCAUGGUUAAGGAACUCGGCAAAAUGCCCCCGUAACUUCGGGAGAAGGGGGGCCCUGAGCGUGAUCUGCCCGUGCGGUGGGGAGCGUGUAGGGGUCGCAGAGACCAGGGGGAAGCGACUGUUUAUCAAAAACACAGGUCCGUGCGAAGUCGUAAGACGAUGUAUACGGACUGACUCCUGCCCGGUGCUGGAAGGUUAAGAGGAUUGGUUAGCCUUUUUUGGGCGAAGCUGAGAAUUUAAGCCCCAGUAAACGGCGGUGGUAACUAUAACCAUCCUAAGGUAGCGAAAUUCCUUGUCGGGUAAGUUCCGACCUGCACGAAUGGAGUAACGACUUCCCUACUGUCUCAACCAUGAACUCGGCGAAAUUGCAGUACGAGUAAAGAUGCUCGUUUCGCGCAGCAGGACGGAAAGACCCCGUGACCUUUACUAUAGUUUGGUAUUGGUGUUUGGUUUGGCUUGUGUAGGAUAGGUGGGAGACUGUGAAGCAUGGACGCUAGUUUGUGUGGAGUCGUUGUUGAAAUACCACUCUGGUCAAUCUGGAUGUCUAACUUCGGGCCAUGAUCUGGUUCAGGGACAGUGCCUGAUGGGUAGUUUAACUGGGGCGGUUGCCUCCUAAAGUGUAACGGAGGCGCCCAAAGGUUCCCUCAGCCUGGUUGGCAAUCAGGUGUUGAGUGUAAGUGCACAAGGGAGCUUGACUGUGAGACUGGCAGGUCGAGCAGGGACGAAAGUCGGGACUAGUGAUCCGGCGGUACGUUGUGGAACGGCCGUCGCUCAACGGAUAAAAGGUACCUCGGGGAUAACAGGCUGAUCUUGCCCAAGAGUCCAUAUCGACGGCAUGGUUUGGCACCUCGAUGUCGGCUCGUCGCAUCCUGGGGCUGGAGUCGGUCCCAAGGGUUGGGCUGUUCGCCCAUUAAAGCGGUACGCGAGCUGGGUUCAGAACGUCGUGAGACAGUUCGGUCCCUAUCCGCUGCGCGCGUUGGAAAUUUGAGAAAGGCUGUCCUUAGUACGAGAGGACCGGGACGGACGAACCUCUGGUAUGUCAGUUGUACCGCCAGGUGCAUGGCUGAUUGGCUACGUUCGGGAGGGAUAACCGCUGAAAGCAUCUAAGCGGGAAGCCUGUUUCGAGAUGAGAUUUCCUGGCACUUUGG